rnacentral:rRNA from 1 species
GUCUAUGGCCAUGCCAUCCUGAACAAGCCCGAUCCUGUCUGAUCUCAGAAGCUAAGCAGGGUCGGGCCUGGUUAGUACUUGGAUGGGGUCCCACCUAGGAAGACCAGGUGCUGUAGGCG